rnacentral:rRNA from 1 species
AGAAUCAACGCUGGCGGCGUGCCUAACACAUGCAAGUCGCACGAGAAAGGGGCUUCGGCCCUGAGUAAAGUGGCGCACGGGUGAGUAACACGUGAAUGAUCUACCUCCGAGUGGGGAAUAACUGAGAGAAAUCUUGGCUAAUACCGCAUAAUACCCACGGGUCAAAGCAGCAAUGCGCUUGGAGAGGAGUUCGCGGCAGAUUAGCUAGUUGGCGGGUAAUGGCCCACCAAGGCGAUGAUCUGUA